GAUGAACGCUGGCGGCGUGCCUAAUACAUGCAAGUCGAGCGAACAGACGAGGAGCUUGCUCCUCUGACGUUAGCGGCGGACGGGUGAGUAACACGUGGAUAACCUACCUAUAAGACUGGGAUAACUUCGGGAAACCGGAGCUAAUACCGGAUAAUAUAUUGAACCGCAUGGUUCAAUAGUGAAAGACGGUUUUGCUGUCACUUAUAGAUGGAUCCGCGCCGCAUUAGCUAGUUGGUAAGGUAACGGCUUACCAAGGCAACGAUGCGUAGCCGACCUGAGAGGGUGAUGGGCCACACUGGAACUGAGACACGGUCCAGACUACUACGGGAGGCACCAGUAGGGAAUCUUCCGCAAUGGGGGAAAGCCUGACGGAGCAACGCCGCGAGAGUGAUGAAGGUCUUCGGAUCGUAAAACUCUGUGAUUAGGGAAGAACAAAUGUGUAAGUAACUAUGCACGUCUUGACGGUACCUAAUCAGAAAGCCACGGCUAACUACGUG
rnacentral:rRNA from 1 species